GUGCUCGCUUCGGCAGCACAUAUACUAAAAAUUGGAACGUUACAGAGAAGAUCAGCAUGGCCCCUGUGCAAGGAUGACACGCAAAUUCAUGAAGGGUUCCAAAAAAAA
ensembl:snRNA U6 U6 spliceosomal RNA